UUUAAAUAGUUUAAUUAAAAUAAAGAUUUGUGGUAUCUUAGAUACUAUGAAGUUUUAAAUUU
rnacentral:tRNA from 1 species